GGCUCGCCGUCCUAAGUUACUUGGGGAUCCUGUUUUUGUCUAUUCGCAUGGAUUCUUGUUACUGUUAUGCCUCCCCAGGCUGUUUCCUUACUGCUUUGGCAGGAAUUACGUUCAGCAAUUCCGUUUCUAAAUGACCUGAUUAGCAGCACGUUUCCCCAUUCUUUCUCCAGGAGUCUCUCCGUUUCCAGUUGGACCCCCUCCCCAUCCCUCUCUCAUCCUGUCUGACUUCCUCCACACCCUGCUGCUGACUUCACGGCCCACUGUUGUCCCUCCUUGGAUGUCUGCCCAGGCAGGAGGCCCCCUUUCCUUAAUUACUGGGAAAAACAGUCUCCUCUUGGUCUUUCCUUCCUAGACUCCGCUGCUAUGAGUUUCCAGCUUCUUAGCUCUUGUGUGUCUUUGUCUUUCACAGACAUAAAGGACCAUAAAGCAGAGAGGGGCCUGGAAAACCUGGAAUUUCAUGGAUGAGCAAACUCUGGCCAGAGAGCCAAGUGACAGGGCCAGGGCCAGAAUCUGUAUCUCCACGCUACGCAAUCCCGGCUUCGCCGAUAUAAUCGGACACUAUUGAACCCCAUCAAACUAAUGCAAAUGGAUUAAUUGAUGAUGGCUCACUCAGCUCUACUUACAAUUAAUGGUUUUUAAUUACAUCUCUAUUCUCAGUCUUGGGCUAAAACUGGGGAGAAAAAGAAAAAAAAGAAGUACAGUGGAUUCAAAGUACAGCACUAGUUCGGAAUAAUUUUUAGGGCUCAGGAUUUUGAUAAGUGCUCUUGAACCUCUCAUUCACUGAGUAUCUGCUAUGUGCACACGUGUCUCUGUGUGUGUGCAUGCACUCACAUUUUCCCUAGAUCCUCUUUUAAGGGGACACUGUGAAAUAGUAUACAAUAUCCCCAGAACUAUCUUUAUAAUUUUAUAGUACAAUGACAAGUGUCAUGCCGAUAGCAAUGUACCACAGAUUUGUUGCUUUCUUUAGGAAAAGGGACUCUGUGAAUCCAAGCCCCCCAGGGACAGGACCCUUGUCUCCUAAGAACUCUGUAACUAAUGGUCAGGGGCAAAGGUCCUCACUCACUGACCUUGCGAAGGGGUCAAACAACCCACCCAAUGAUUUGCCUGGUCAGCCUCCACUUGAUGUCACUGAGAAAAUCAAAGUCCAUUCUUAGAGCAAAUGAGUGGGGAACCAGUGCAGCUUUCACAGAGAUCCAAAUAAGGGAUUCUCUUGCUUUUAUUAGUUCAAAGUAUAUUAAUUACUUUAGAAAUUAAAAUGCAGCAUUGGCACUGCCACCUGAUGAACGUGAUAGGCGCCUGUCCCUCCACGGGUCAUGCUGACACAAAUCUACACACGGCACCUCGAACCCUCUUUCCCCAAACCUACCAACAAGUGUCUCAAACUGUUCGGUUCCAGAUCCUCAAUAGUCUCCUAAACUUCCGGUCUAAUAGCCUGUUCUCAUUUCUUGUCUUAUUUCAUUUGCUUAUCUGUCAGAUAUGUAUACAGUGCCUUCUAAGUGUCAGAUAUGCUUUAAACACUAAAGACAUGACAGUGAAUCACACAGACAUGGUUUAUUUUCUCGUGGAGCCCACCUUCUGUGAAGGCUAGAGGGGAACAGUCAUGUAAACAAACAGUGAUGGCCAUUAUGGAGAAAGUCACAUGGGGACAUGUUACAACAGUGAGAGGAAAGGUGGUACUGCAGAGUCGCUUGGGUUGAGAACUGACUGGUGAGAGGCAGACCACGACACAAAGACAUGAGGACGAAGGAAAUAACAGUCCGGGGAAACGUCUGGAGCAGAAGCCCAGAGACAUGCAUGAAUGGACUUGAAGUGACCAAGGAUCUGAAAGAAAGCUGGCUGGACUCUCUCCCCUGACUUCUCUCCGGCACAAGGCACGGUUUCCAGCCUUUGUCUUCACAGCCCUCGCCUGGGACCAGAAACAGUUUGCAGAGGUCCAGGAAGAUAAUGUCCUGAACUAAAGUCGUGACUGCGGGAGAAUCAUGGGUACCUGCCGGCCUGCCGGACGUGUGUGUGGAUAUGGAGAAAGUUAUCCAGCAUGUGCUCCAGCAAAACACAAGAGGAAUCCCGAAGAAGACGACAUGGGGUCUGCGAAAGUGCGGUCGGGGUUCAAAAGGCAGUGAGGGGGCUCCUACGACGGCAGGUGUUCGGCAGAACUCAUGUCACAGGAGAGAUUCUUUGUCGGCAAGUAACGGAAAACCCAACUCAAACUGAUUCCACAAAAACCAAAGGGAGGGCAAUCUCCCAAGUUGCCUUGAUGGUUCACAGAUCAACCAAGACCCAGGCUUCUACCAUCUUUCUGCUCCGUCACCCCUGCUUUUGGCUUCACCCCAAAGCUGCUUUCCCCCCUGGUGCUCUGCUCGUUGCCAGAAGCAACCUGAGCAGGUGCAUCUUUGCUCAGACCUAACAGGAGAGAGCCUGGCUUCUCCUUCCAGGCAAGUAUCUCCUUACGUCUCACUGCCCUGCGUCGGCCCAGAAGCAUCUGUAGCACAGUCCCCGAUUCUUCCACGAAGCGCCUACGUGCCUGCGCCCUCCUCAGCACUGGGGAUAAAGCAGAAAAUGAAGCAGACAGAACUCCUGCCUUCCAGAAACUUCCAUCCAGGUAAACAGAUGAUAAAUAAGUCUGCAAAAUAGCUGUAUGCUGUGUGGUGAUAUGUGCUAGUGUGAGGAAUAAACCGAAGAGGGGACAGGAAGUGGUGGAGGGCGGUGGUAUUUUAGGAAAGCCCUCCCCGAGAAUGUCACUGUUGCCUCGGUCUAAUCAUGUGCGAUGGGAUGGGUUUGGGGCACUCGACCAUACUGCCCAUCCACCUGCAGCACACAGCACGGGUCGAAGCAGGAGGACGGGGGGCCCUGCGAGGGAGGUCUCCUGGGAGAAAAGGGGACUGCGUAGAGUACCGGAUGUUAUGGAAAAGAUUUUAAAUCAUGUUAGAAUCAGGAGCAGAAACAUGUAGGCGAAAGUCUGCUCACAGAACACUACGUGGCUCCUCUGCAUAACAUGUACGGAGCCCAAGUCACGGAAAUGCUGUUGUUAGUUUUCAGAGUUUAGAAUGAACUGGUAGAGAAAUCACAGGAGAUUUAAUCAUAAUUACAGAACCAAACGUAAAUGAUGCCAACCUGAACAUUCUAAGAUUGGAGUGCUGAAGGAGGGAGAAAGAAGAACCGAAGUCAAAGGCCCGGCGCCCCAGUUCUCCUUGUCCCCCCGGGAUGUUAAAGGGACUGACGAUAUUUGCAGGAAUAAGAAAUGAUGGUGUAUGUUUGUUACCUAAAAUUGCAAACAAUAGAGAAACUAAAUAUGUGUUGUAACAAUCUGAGGUGUUGGGAGGGACAGCUGGGAGGUGACCUGAGGGAGCCAAAUCUCAUAGUAGGAAGUGGGAUGUCCAGAACAGACAAAUUCAGAAAUAGCACAUAAACUCAUGCGAGCUGCAGAGCCAUAGAAAAACGGCAGUGUUUCUGUUUAACUACAGAAUAACAUGGUAGAAUUAGUGGGUUGACUUUGGGGAGAAAGACUAAGGGUGGAGUGAAAGGCAAAGUAUUGUUUUCAUUAUUAGUUCUUUGAGAAAGUUUGACUUUUGAA